GUCUAAUUUUUUGUUAUUUUUUAAUAAUCUUUUACAGCCAUAUAAACUGUAACGGAAGUCAAGUCCUCACGGUCUUUAUACUAUGGGCUACACACGUGUUACAACGGUAAAAACAACAAAAUAUUAAAAGAAAUUUGUAAUAAUUUUUAAAAAUUACCUAAGUACGGAUACAUUUCUGAAACUUGAAAUGCUGAAGUUGAAAUCAUUAGUAACCAUAAAUUAGUAUGUUAUGGCGAAUUAAAUAACUAAUCUUGCACACACCGCCCAUCACAUUCGGAGAGUUUAUAAAAUCAGUAAAGGUAUACUAUGUAGUCUAUUUUUUUAAGUCAUUGCAUAAUCUUAUUUUUUUUAAAAGUCCUAUAUUUUAUAAUACCACGUAUUGUAUACUCUUACAAUACUUGUAAAACGGG
rnacentral:rRNA from 1 species